rnacentral:tRNA from 1 species
GCCUAGCUGGCUCAAUCAGUAGAGUACAUGACUCUUGAUCUUGAGGUUGUGAGUUCAAGUCCCAUGUUGUGCA